GUAACACUUGUUCCUUAAGACAAAGGUGGUCGUGGAAAAUAGUCGAGCGGUUGAAUUCCGUGACUGGGUUGAUUCAAGGAAACUGCCGUAAAGAUGAAAAUGUCAUUCUCAAUUCCUGUCUGGAAGUAUGCUCUGCUGACCUUGAGCACUUUAUUGUCGAUGCUGUGCGUGGUGCUGAUAUCGGUUGGUGUCAUUACUCUCGGCGGUGCUGGCUCGCCAUUGGGAGCCUACACCGCCAGUCUGCUGGGUUGUCUGGUGUUUGCUCUCUGUACCAUGGG